rnacentral:rRNA from 1 species
CUCCCCGAAAUGCAUUUAGGUGCAGCGUCGUGUGUUUCUUGCCGGAGGUAGAGCUACUGGAUGGUUUAGCGGGACCAACAUCUUAGCGACAUCAGCCAAACUCCGAAUGCCGGUAAGUUAGAGCACGGCAGUGAGACUGCGGGGGAUAAGCUUCGUAGUCGAGAGGGAAACAGCCCAGAUCGCCGGCUAAGGCCCCUAAGGGUGUGCUAAGUGGAAAAGGAGGUGGGGUCGCGAAGACAGCCAGGAGGUUGGCUUAGAAGCAGCCAUCCUUGAAAGAGUGCGUAAUAGCUCACUGGUCGAGUGAUUCCGCGCCGACAAUGUAGUGGGGCUUAAGUACACCGCCGAAGCCGCGGCAAUGAUCUUUAUAGGAUUGUUGGGUAGGGGAGCGUCGUGCAUGCGUUGAAGCUUUGGGGUGACCUUGGGUGGAGUGUGUGCGAGUGAGAAUGCAGGCAUGAGUAACGAAUGAUGCGUGAGAAACGUAUCCGCCGGAUGACUAAGGGUUCCUGGGUCAAGUUAAUCUUCCCAGGGUGAGUCGGGGCCUAAGGCGAGGCCGACAGGCGUAGUCGAUGGAUAACGGGUUGAUAUUCCCGUACCCGAGUAUGAGCGACCAUGGUGAAUCAGUGAUACUAACCACCCAUAAGCACCCGCGAAAAGGCUUUGCUUUUUUGUGGUGUGUGGUUGCGUGGGACCUGAUCUGGUAGUAGCUAAGUGAUGGGGUGACGCAGGGAGGUAGCUCAGCCACUUAUUGGAUUGUGGUGUAAGCGUGUGGCACGCAGUGUUGGUAAAUCCGCACUGUUUUUGUGUGAGGCGUGAUGCGGAGCCCGUAAAGGGUGAAGUGGGUGAUCCUGUGCUGUCGAGAAAAGCCUCUAGCGAUGUUGAUAUUCGGCCCGUACCCUAAACCGACACAGGUAGUCAGGUAGAGAAUACUAAGGCGUUCGGGUGAACUGUGGUUAAGGAACUCGGCAAAAUGCCCCCGUAACUUCGGGAGAAGGGGGGCCACGGCGUGUGAACAACUUUUCGUUGGGAGCGUGUUGUGGUCGCAGAGAAUAGAGGGAAGCGACUGUUUACUAAAAACACAGGUCCGUGCGAAGACGUUUAAGUUGAUGUAUACGGACUGACGCCUGCCCGGUGCUGGAAGGUUAAGAGGACCGGUUAGGAAAACUUGUUUUUUCGAAGCUGAGAAUUUAAGCCCCAGUAAACGGCGGUGGUAACUAUAACCAUCCUAAGGUAGCGAAAUUCCUUGUCGGGUAAGUUCCGACCUGCACGAAUGG